rnacentral:rRNA from 1 species
GUGUGGAAUCUUAGACAAUGGGGGAAACCCUGAUCUAGCCAUGCCGCGUGAGCGAUGAAGGCCUUAGGGUUGUAAAGCUCUUUCAGAUGGGAAGAUAAUGACGGUACCAUCAGAAGAAGCCCCGGCUGACUCCGUGCCAGCAGCCGCGGUAAUACGGAGGGGGCUAGCGUUGUUCGGACUUACUGGGCGUACAGCGCACGUAGGCGGACCAGAAAGUCAGAGGUGAAAUCCCAGGGCUCAACCUUGGAACUGCCUUUGAAACUCCUGGUCUUGAGGUCGAGAGAGGUGAGUGGAAUUCCGGGUGUAGAGGUGAAAUUCGUAGAUAUUCGGAGGAACACCAGUGGCGAAGGCGGCUCACUGGCUCGAUACUGACGCUGAGGUGCGAAAGCGUGGGGAGCAAACAGGAUUAGAAACCCUGGUAGUCC